AUGGCUUUGGCGAGCCCACCUACAAAGGACUUCUGGCCUUCAGACAUCCUAUUUUCAAAGAACAGUAAUAUUAGGUGAUGUCUUCCACCAUGUUGUGAUGUAGGACAAAGCUCACCCUUGCCAAGCAGAUACCGGCACCAUGUUCUGGGGCAUGAUCUCAGCUUUGGCUGUUUCAAAUUGACUUAUGUUGGAAGGCACGAUGGCCAAGGCUGGCCUAGGAACCAGAAGCCUUGAAGCGAUAGAGAUGUCUGGAUGCAGAAUAUAAAGUCACUGCUGGAUCUACAGAGCUGAGGAAGGAAUUUCUGAAACAAUGGACUGCCCAAAUCUGAGGCCAGGAAGUAGCAGAUGUUUCCUGUGAGCUGCAGAGGACACAAUGUUGAAGUACAGACAGACGUCUCAUACAGACCCUUUCAGCAUAGCAAUGGCUAGAAAGCAUGAGCUCUGGAAUCAGAAAGGAUCCACAUCUUAAAGGUUUCAUCACCUCUCAUAGCAUCAUGGGCUGGAGGCAAAGAAUUCAACACAAGAGCAUUUGGAGAGCUUUCAAGAUUCAAACUAUAGUAUGGCUAGCAGCUGGUGGGAAAGAUGGGCUCCAAAGAUAAAAGUGCGUACUUUAACUUGUGA